rnacentral:rRNA from 1 species
CCCGCUGAACUUAAGCAUAUCAAUAAGCGGAGGAGAAGAAACUAACAAGGAUUCCCCUAGUAACUGCGAGUGAAGCGGGAAAAGCUCAAAUUUAAAAUCUGGCGGUCUUUCGGCCGACCGCAGUUGUAAUCUGGAGAAGCGUUAUAUCCGCGUUGGACCGUGUACAAGUCUUCUGGAAGGGAGCGUCAUAGAGGGUGAGAAUCCCGUCUUUGACACGGACUACCAGUGCUUUUGUGAUGCGCUCUCGAAGAGUCGAGUUGUUUGGGAAUCGCAGCUCACAAUGGGUGGUAAAUUCCAUCUAAAGCUAAAUAUUGGCGAGAGACCGAUAGCGAACAAGUACCGUGAGGGACAGAUGACAAGCACUUUGUAGAGAGAGUUAAACAGUACGUGAAAUUGUUGAAAGGGAAACGUUUGAAGUCAGUCGCGUCGGCCGAGACUCAGCCUUGCUUCCGCUCGGUGCACUUCUCGGUUGUCGGGUCAGCAUCAAUUUCGUCCGCCGGAUAAAGGUUGAGGGACCGUGCCAUCUUUCGAGGUGUGUUAUAGCCCUUGAUUCGCAUACGGCGAUUGGGAUUGAGGAACUCAGCGCGCCUUUAUGGUCGGGGUAGCAACCCACGUAACGCGCUCAGGAUGCUGGCAUAAUGGCUUUAAGCGACCCGUCUUGAAACACGG